rnacentral:rRNA from 1 species
GAUGAACGCUGGCGGCGUGCCUAAUACAUGCAAGUCGAGCGAACGGACGAGAAGCUUGCUUCUCUGAUGUUAGCGGCGGACGGGUGAGUAACACGUGGAUAACCUACCUAUAAGACUGGGAUAACUUCGGGAAACCGGAGCUAAUACCGGAUAAUAUUUUGAACCGCAUGGUUCAAAAGUGAAAGACGGUCUUGCUGUCACUUAUAGAUGGAUCCGCGCUGCAUUAGCUAGUUGGUAAGGUAACGGCUUACCAAGGCAACGAUGCAUAGCCGACCUGAGAGGGUGAUCGGCCACACUGGAACUGGGACACGGUCCAGACUCCUACGGGAGGCAGCAGUAGGGGAUCUUCCGCAAUGGGCGAAAGCCUGACGGAGCAACGCCGCGUGAGUGAUGAAGGUCUUCGGAUCGUAAAACUCUGUUAUUAGGGAAGAACAUAUGUGUAAGUAACUGUGCACAUCUUGACGGUACCUAAUCAGAAAGCCACGGCUAACUACGUG